UACGGAGGGUGCGAGCGUUGUUCGGAAUUAUUGGGCGUAAAGCGCGUGUAGGCGGUUGAGCAAGUCAGAUGUGAAAGUCUUCCGCUUAACGGAAGAAGUGCAUUUGAAACUGCUCGGCUUGAGUACGGGAGAGGAGAGUGGAAUUCCCGGUGUAGAGGUGAAAUUCGUAGAUAUCGGGAGGAACACCAGUGGCGAAGGCGGCUCUCUGGUCCGAUACUGACGCUGAGACGCGAAAGCGUGGGGAGCAAACAGG
rnacentral:rRNA from 1 species